rnacentral:lncRNA from 1 species
CAGAAGUGCUGGCAAAAACCUGAGGGCUCCUGACAAGGUCGGAUGCCUUAUGCUUCAGCAAGUGUUCCAAAUCCUCAGUAACCUCUUCCUGGCUGUGGCUGACACACAGAAAAGCAGGGAUUCUUGAAGGACUUUUAACUUUCUUGGCUGAGGUUAAGGAAGCGGAACUGCUCACCGUCACAUCAGCCAGAGAGCAAGCGCUCAGAUCAUUCUGACACAGCCAGACAAACAACAUCAUCAAUAUUCAGACAAGAUGGAUAUUUUUAAGGUCUACAUCAUCAUCGCCACUGAAAUUCGACACACAUCAGCUGAUGAGAAGGUUUAACUGUUAAGAAAAUACUUUGCACACCCGUACGCAUACUCCGGUUUUUUGCUAAUUUUAUC